rnacentral:rRNA from 1 species
UACGAAGGGUGCUAGCGUUGUUCGGAUUUACUGGGCGUAAAGAGUGCGUAGGCGGUAUUGUAAGUUAGACGUGAAAGCCCAGGGCUUAACCUUGGAAUAGCGUUUAAAACUGCAAGACUAGAGUAUGGGAGAGGAUAGUGGAAUUCCGAGUGUAGAGGUGGAAUUCGUAGAUAUUCGGAGGAACACCAGAGGCUAAGGCGACUAUCUGGACCAUUACUGACGCUGAGGUACGAAAGCGUGGGGAUCAAACAGG